UCCUGGUGGCUCAGAUGGUAAAGCAUCUACCUGCAAUGAGGGAGACCUGGGUUCAAUCCCCAGGUCAGGAA
rnacentral:tRNA from 1 species